GGGGAUUUAGCCCAGUGGCCUAAGCACCUGCCUGGCAAGCAUGAGAUUGAGCUCAAUCCCUG
rnacentral:tRNA from 1 species